AUGGAGCCCUUGAACUUUCUAACGACUGAAGAGUUGCUGUUUUUUCUCCACCGGAAAAAGACGGAGAUUUCGUGCAUCGAGCAACCGCACAGACUCCUCACUCAGCUGCGCGACCACGAUCUGGUUCCGGAGAAACUUUUUGAGAAUGUAAAAAAGAUGCGUUCUCGUGAGCAGAAGGAGAAGGGCAUCUAUGAGGUUCUGGACUGGGUGGAGAAAAAUAAACCACAGUACAUGCAUCAGUUCUGGCGCUGUGUGUUUGAAGACCAUAUCCUGCAGCUCUACCCAACGCUACGCAUGCUCAGAAAAAAUCUGCUGGACGGCACUUUCAAAUUUGAUGAGAAACAUCCAGAUGUUGAGACACCAGCAGAGGAGGAAAAGAGUGAAGGAAAGGCAGAGAAAGUGAAGGAGAAGAACUACAAAAGAAAGAGAAGUAAAGAUGAUAGAAGUAGUGAGGAUAGUGAUGAUCUUGGUUCUUCCUCUGCUUCUACACCCAGUCGGAAGGAACCAGCGUCUCUUGUGAAGAAAGGAGACAAGCAGGAGAUUUGGAAGUGGCCUGUUUAUAAAACGCAUCUGCCUGUAACCUGUGGGGAUAAAGAAGGCACUCUCUAUCGGGUCAAAAUGCCCAGAGGGGAAAAGUGUAUUUUGUCUCAAGGACGCUGGUUCACCCCAAAUGAUUUUGAAAGGUUUGCGGGGAAGGAAAAGUGCAAAAACUGGAAACUCAGCAUCCGCUGCGGAAACACACCACUUAAGAAACUCAUAGAAGUAAAUAAUGCAAGCACUUACAGAUUGUUGGUAUUUUGGGGAUCUAUAUUUAAAAAAAAAAUAUUAGAGUCUCAUGUUUGUUUUGGCUGUGUUGAAGGUUUGAGAGGAAAAUGUUCAUGUUUAUGUUCUGUUGCAGGGAUACGUGGGAAGUGUAUACGUACUGAGGAAAAAUGGUUCACUCCGGAGGAAUUUGUAAAGCAGGAACCGACUCUUACAGAUGGGCACUGGAAGAAAGAUAUUCUGUGCCAUGAAAAAAUGCUCAACUUUUUAAUCAAGGUAGCAAAUGGGAGAGAUACUCAAGAGGAAGAUAACAAUGAUGACGAGUGUUACGUGUGUCACUCUAGGGGGGAUCUUGUGUGUUGUGACGAGUGUCCACGAGCUUUUCAUUCACAAUGUCACCUACCAGCUGUACAUGGAGACUCACCUGGGGAAUGGAUUUGUACCUUUUGCGUGUUUAGAACCAGUCAACAGUGGCGUGUCUCCAGUAACAUGUCUGAACAAGAGGCUCUCGAUGCCCCAGUGUCUCAGUACAGAUUGGUGCCCAGAUACUCUGAGUUCAUAUCUCAGCCGAUGUGGCUGGACAGAAUAAAGCAGAAGUUGGAAAGUGGAGAGUAUCAGACGGUACGAGCAUUCGUCUCAGACUUUCAGCUCAUUUUCAGCAACUGCAGAACGUUCAAUAGGGACAAUGUUUUUGGCCGAAUGGGUGCCAGGCUGAAGAAAAUGUUCGAGGAAGAGUUCAAGAAAAUCUUCAGUAUCCAAUAA
ensembl:lncRNA